GUGGCUAUCUAGCAAUACAUGCAAAGAAAGAGAUUGGGAAGCUAUUUAGCCUCCAGUGUGCAUUUGAAUCGGUCGUGUUCCACUCGAUUAGGUUACCAUUCUACCACAGCACUUUUAUGUUUCUGAUUUGUUUUUUAAAUAAGGCCUUGUUUAGUUCACCCCAAAAACCAAAAUCUUUUCAGGCCUUGUUUAGUUCGUAAAAAUUUUCAAGAUUUCCCGUCACAUCGAAUCUUUGGUCGCAUACAUGGAGCAUUAAAUAUAGAUGAAAAUAAAAAUUAACUGCACAGUUUACCUGUAAUUUGUGAGAUGAAUCUUUUGAGCCUAGUAACUCCGUGAUUAGACAAUGUUUGUCAAAUAAAAACGAAAUGCUACAGUACCCAAAAACAAAAAAUAUUGCGAACUAAACAAGGCCUCAAGAUUUUCUGUCACAUCGAAUCUUACGCCACAUGCAUUGAGUAUUAAAUAUAGACGAAAAUAAAAACCAAUUGCACAGUUUACCUGUAAAUCACGAGAUGAAUCUUUUAAACCUAUUUAAUCUAUAAUUGGAUAAUGUUUGUCAAAUAAAAACGAAAGUGCUACAGUUCCGAAAACUUUUCAGUUUUCGGAACUAAACAAGGCCUAACAAGAAAAGAAAAAAAAAGUAAAAACAAAGCAACUCACGCACACCACACAACGGAGAAAAGCAUACGCCCGGCCACCGACGCCCCUUACUCAUCCUCCCGUCCGCUCGAUCUCUCCCUCUCGUGUGUCUUUCUCCUCUCUCUCUCGCCUUCCCUUGCUGCUCCCAUCUCCAACACCGGCUCCCUCUCCAUGCCCCUUCUCUUCCCCCUAUGAUACUCAAAUCGAUCUUCAAAUCGGCAUCUCCAUCAUAGCGAUUUUUCAAUCUCAAUUCGCCUACAAGGCUGGCUGGUAUGCCACAAGUUCUUACAAAUCUUGUUAAGCUGAUCACAAGGGAGAUCCAUGGCGUCGCUGGUGGCCUCACGAGCUCCGUCCGCGGCGGCGGCGGCGGCGGUCACCUGAGCUCCAUCUGCGGCUAUGAUGGCGCGGUUUGCCGGCAUCGCUAUGCUCCCAUAAUUUUGUCACGUUGGUGGCCUUUAUUCGGUAUGAUUUUCAUAGAUUUUGUAUGUGAUUUGUUUUAGACUUCAUUUGGUAUGUGAUUUUAUUUUUGGACUCAGUCUAGAAUCCACAUUUGGUGUGGUUCAUUUUUGGGUUCGUGUCGUAUGUGGUUUGAAUUCAAUUUUGGGCAGGAGAGAUGAGGAUAUUAGAGUCCAUUAUCAGAGGAGGCUUUUUGAGUACGAGUAGCUGAUUAGAGUGGUCAGACAAAAAAAUCUAGAACAAAAAAUCAGUGGAAAUUUUAUCUCAUUAGUAUUAGAGAUAGAUUUCGGACUAUAGUAGCGUCAUACAAACCUUUGAGGCUGCCUAUUAUCAAUAGUUUCUUCAAAUAAGGUAAAUAUUUUUUUAAGCAUCAAAUUAUUAUUUUUCAUAUAUAUUUGCACAUGACAAUAUCAUGCCGAUAAUAUUUUUUAUAUAUUUUACAUGGGCCUAGACUUGCUUUAAAAAUAAACAGACAACAGUGUUUUUCUUUUGUUCGCUUGAGCUUAUUAGCCGAAUCUAUCAGCUAUUCAGUAGUGUUUUUCUCUCAGAACAAAUCAGUCAAUAAUACUUUCUGUCAUGGUUUAUCAGCCAAACGAACGGCCAUGCCCGAGCAGCCGGCGGCUAGGGCCAGCUCCGCGUCCUGCUCGUUGCCCUGCCUCGCGGCGCCCAGCUCGCCCCCUCCCCCCGGUCCACCUCUCUCUCUCUCUCUCUCUCUCUCUCUUCUGAGCUAUUUCUGUCUUUUCACGUGUAUGUUUGGCACGGGCUCAAUAGCCAUCUUUAUAUACAUUCCUACGUUUUUGCCACUCUAUCGACGAAAACUUCAUAGAUUUAGGCCUUGUUUAGUUCCAAAAUAUUUUGCAAAAUCGACACUGAAGCUCUUUCGUUUGUAUUUGAUAAAUAUUGUCCAAUCAUGGACUACUCAAAAGAUUCAUCUCGUCAAUUUCGACCAAACUGUGCAAUUAGUUUUUAUUUUUAUCUAUAUUUAAUACUUCAUGCAUGUGUCUAAAGAUUCGAUGUGACGGGGAAUCAAAAAAAUUUUGCAAAAUUUUUUGAGAACUAAACAAGGCCUUAGACAUUUUACACAUGUAGCUAGCCAAGUCAAAUGUCCAACGUGGCAGCAGCAUGUGAAAAGACCUCUCUACCCUUACCUUAUUCUUUGGCUCAACGUCCAUUGUUCAUCUUUCCCGUCCUGUUCGCCGUGGCCUCAGCGUUAGGCCUAGUUUAUAUACACUCAAAAAUCCAAAACUUUACAAGAUUCCGUGUCACAUCGAAUCUUGCGGCACAUGCAUGAAGUAUUAAAUAUAGAUAAAAAGAAUAACUAAUUGCACAGUUUACCUGUAAUUUACGAGAUGAAUCUUUUAAGCCUAGUUACUCUAUAAUUAGAUAAUGUUUGUCAAAUAAAAACGAAAAUUUUACAGUGUCAAAAUCCAAAAACUUUUUGCAUUUAAACAAGGCCUUAGCCCACAGCUACAUCGCUGCUGCACUUGCUCGCUAGGGGCUUCUGCACGAAGAUGUAGUAGAGCUUCACGGUGAGCCCUAGCAGGAGUAGCGAGGACACCACGACCAGCUCGACGCCGAUGCUACUCAAAGCUCGCAUGUUUGCUCUUGCUCUUUAUCCAAUCUAUCUAAUGGUGGCGUCUCCUCCGUCCGUUUGCCAGAGAGAAUACUGGCGAGCUAGCUUGGAUACGCCAUUAGAGACAGAGGAAGGGAGGAAUGCAGAGGUGAGAGGAAGAGGAAGAAAGCAGAGCAGCAAGAACUGAAAGCUCUGUAGCCUCGAAAGAUUGACAGGGAGCUGCAGCCACCAGGGAAUGGAGCUGAAUCUACAAGGCGCUGGAUUUUGCCUGUGGCUGUCGGAAGAAUCAUUAGAAACUGAAACAAUUGCCCGCGUUGGCAACGACACCUCAUUGCAGAACCCCAGCUCGACGAUGUCCGCGGACCGGCAUGGGAUGGCGAGCUCCUCUACGGCCUGAAGGAGCAUAGAACGACGAUGCUCCUCAGCGCUGGCGGCAGUGACAACACGGCCAAGCAAUAUAGCAGGCCAGCGCGCGGCAGCAGUGGCGGACCCGGAAACAGAUCAAAGGGGGGCUAAAUAACAUAUCUAAUUUUUUUCUCGCUCAAUCCAGUAUACUAAUAGAUAGCUAAGAGUGAUAAUUCAAUAUUGAUUCAAAGUGCUCAAAAACAAAGAUUCAUAGAAUAAACAUAGAUUCAACGUGCGUCCGCCAAUGCGCGGUAGCAAUGAUUAGGCGCGUCCGGGUAGAGCACAACAUGGUAUAGGAACUCGGCCUCUUCUCAUACUUUGGAAGAGCAUAGCGGGGGCACAUCAGCUUGCUCAGGAUGGGGAAGUUGAACUGUGGGCAGUGGCGAAGCCAGAACAUUUCAGGAGCCCGGGCAAUUCUCAUUAAAAAAUAUAAAAUCACAUAAUUUUAUAUAAAUAUAAAGAAGAUUUCUUUUGCAUUUUGGCGAGGAGCCCGGCCGGCCGCCCGGGUGGCCGGACGGUGGCUCCGCCAGUGACCGUGGGACACGCAGGAGAAGAUCGCCAUGGACACAGGGAUAAGGCUAAGGGCAUAGAAGUCUUUUCGCAUGCCACUGCAAUGUUGGAUGGGUGACUCUGCUACCCAUGUGUGCAAAAUAUCUAAAUAUGUGAAGUUUUCGUUGAUGCAAUGGCAAAAAUGUAGAAACAUAUAUAAAGAUGGCAAUUGAGUCUGUGCUAAACAUAAUAGUGGCGAAAAAUUAAAUAUCCCAAGAAACGCCUUGUUUUCGUUCCUUCCAAAUUUUGUAAUUUUUUUAGAUUUCCCGUCACAUCGAAACUCGCGACACAUGGAUAAAGCAUUAAAUAUAGAUUAAAAAAUAACUAGUUCACAAUGCGAGACGAAAUUUUUUGAGCCUAGUUAGUCCAUGAUUGGAUAAUAUUUGUCAAAUACAAAUGAAAAUGCUACAAUGUCUAUUUUGCAAAAAAAAUGGAACUAAACGAGGCUUAAACAAAAUUUGUUUUGAGGCCAAGUAAGCAAGUUUGAAUUUGAAAGAAAAAGUGCCAAAAAAACUAAGUCUAACUUUUUUCAUGGCCUGGAACUAAUUUUCUCUAACUAGAUAUAUACCGGUGCCUUACACCGGGGUUAAAAAAUACUAUUUCUUUUUAAUAUUAUAAAUUUUUCAUUGGGGACAUUAAACUAUUUCCAAUUUAAUUCAUACCUUGUCUAUUUUUUCUCCUUUUAUCAACUGAGAUCAUAUUCUCUUCAUAGAUUUACUCCUCACAUCGUUGUCUUCCUAUUUAUCAACUUUUCUGUUUCAACACAUUUAUAAUCAUUCAUUUUUUUUACCCUUUAUUUUACCCAAUCUGUUAUUCACUAAGUCUUCCCCUCACAUUUCGAUGAUGGAUCCUUUACCUCUACGUAUUUCUGAUGAUGCACGAAUUAGAAGCAAUAGGUCAUUUAGCCGGCCAAUCACAAGCCUGUUCGUUUAUCUAAAAAAUUAUAGAAAAUAAUAUUUACUAAUUUAUUAUAAGAGAAAAAUACUAACAUAUUCGAUAAAUAAGUUCAGCACUGAUAUGUUGUCGGAAAAAAAAUAUAUGCUGGUAACAUGGGAUGGUUUGACGAAGUGGGGUAGUGGGCAAGCGGGUCCAAUAGACAAUAGUAUACCUACUGUAUUUGUUAUAGUUUGUGUUUUUAUUCUUUGUGGUCGAUAGUAUACGUUCUUUUAUAUCAUUAGGUAUAUUGGGCCUUGAUCACUAGAGGAGGCAACUUCUGGGCCACGUAAUCUAUUCCAACAUCUUAAAGGGGCCGCUUCAUCCAUGAUUUUGGGCCUGCACUGGACCUAGGCCGCGACGAGGAUCACUGCUUGCGCUGCGAGAAUGUGGGUGCAGUGCUGUGCGGGCCCUGAUAGAAAGCGCACGCAAAUAAAUUCACGAGGGUACACCGCGCCAGCAGAAAUCAUACGCAAAAUUCGCAAAAUAUGCUGAGGCAGCAAAGCUGCAACACGGACAGAAAAGUUGGUUCGCACGGCCCAUGACGGCAGAUUAUUUUUCUAUUUAUUUUAUUGAUUUCCAUGCUGGAAGGUGUAUAGUUUUCUACUAACUAAAAAAAUAUAACUGCUAAACCGAUAUCUAAAUUAAAUUCUAAUUGUACCAUUAUAUAUUUUUUAUAAUAAAUACUUCAAAACAAGAUUCCAGAUAAAUAUAUUUAGAUAAAAUUUUAUUAACAAACAUUAAUUUCAUAAAAAUAGAACAUUUUCUUUUAUUUAGCAGGGACGAUGUUCUUGGCUUAUAGAACAAUGUUUUGUGUUCAUAAGAAAAAAUAUUAUCUAUUUAGAAGAAUCAUAUUCUAGUUUUUAGACUCAUCAAAUUGAUAUUAUAAUAUACGUAAAAAUAAAUACAUAAUAUAAAUAAAGAAUCUAGAGCAAAGCAUAACAACAAAUAAAAACACGUAAUAGAAAAAAAAUUAAAAGAACAUCACACGAAUACUUUUCAACCAUUCUAAAAUAUAUUAGAAAACAUCAGAUAUGUACUAAGUGAACAUUCCUAAAUACACCAUAGAAACAUCAUUGAAUAUAUUACAGAACAUCGCAUAUAUAUUACAUGAGCAUUACUAAAUAUAUUAUAGAACACCACAUGUGUACUAAGUGAAUAUUACUAAAUACACCAUAAAACAUCACUUAAAAUAUAUUAUAAAACAUCACAUAUAUAGUACGUAAACAUCACUAAAUAUAUAAUAAAACAUCACAUGUAUAUUAAGUGAACAUCACAAAAAAAAUCAUAAAACAUCACAUAUAUACUAUAUGAACAUCACAGAAUACAUCUAGAACAUCAUUGUAUAUUACGUGAACAUCACAUGUAUACUACACAAACAUCACAAGACACAUCAUAGAACAUCACAUAUACAUCACGUGAAAAUUUAAAAAAACAUCACAUAUAUAACACGUCAACAUCACAAAAAAAAAUAUAGAACAUCUACAUGAUAUCAUCAAAAACAACAUAGAUCAUCAUAAAAAGAUAAUAAAAGAAAAAUAAAUAAAAUAAAGGUAAUAUAAAAAAUUAAAAUAAUAAUAAACACAUAAAACAGAAAAAGAAAUUAGAAAAAAAAAUAAAUGGUGCAUGAAAAGAAAAAAGGAAAAAGACAAAAAAAAAAGAAAAGGAAAAAAGGAAAUAACUAAAGAAAGGUAAAAAAAUAAAAACAUGAAUCAAAUAAAAACAUAAAUUAGAAAAGGAACAAAAAGUAAAUAAAUAAAAGAGAAAAAAGAAAACUAAAAAAGAGAAAAAAAAACUAUGUGAAAAAGAAAAAGAAAAAAAGAAUAUAAUAUGAAAGGACAAAAGAAGGAACGAUGAUGGCUGGCCACGGUAAUAAAAAAAUAAAAAAAACAAGAAGAAACGAAACAAGAAAAGAAAUCGAAAAGUAAUAAAUGGAAAAAGAAAAAGAAAUGAAACAAGAACAGAAAAUUUUAAAAAAAAUGAAAUAUCAACAAAACAACGAUCCAGCCUACGAACGAAAAAACAUGGUUGUGGGCCGGCCUCAGCAUGGGCUGUCCACGCACGCAGCAUCCACGCUCCCGUCCGUGUGCAGCAUCCAUCACGCGGGAAUCGUCGCACGGAAGACUCGGAUGCUGGCGCGGGAAAUCAUCGGCGGAGCCGCGGAGGCUUCCAAGAAUUUCGGUGCUGUGGCACGUGCCACCCGACGCGGCAUCGACCACACCGCCCAGCGACGGCGACAGAGCAAACUAGAUGCGUGCGGACCAUGUCGGUAACGGUAAGCCGACCGGCAUAGUUAACUACUCAAAUUGCAUGUCCUAGAUCAAAACAAUAAUGCGUCCGGGUAGCCCAGGUAAUAUUGUAGCCACGCACAUGGGUCCACCUUCACUUAGGCCUUGUUUAGGCCUUGUUUAGUUCCCAAAAAUUUUGCAAAACUUUUCAAAUUCUCUGUCACAUCGAAUCUUUAGACGUAUGCAUGGAGUAUUAAAUAUAGAUGAAAAUAAAAACUAAUUAUACAGUUUGGUCAGAAUUGACGAGACGAAUCUUUUGAACCUAGUUAGUCUAUAAUUAGACAAUAUUUAUCAAAUACAAACGAAAAUACUACUAUUCACGUUUUGCAAAAAAUUUUGAAAGUAAACAAGGCCUUAGUUCCUAAAAAUUUUAGUUUUUGGCUACUAUAGCAUUUCGUUUUUAUUUGACAAAAACAUUGCCCAAUCACAGAGUAACUAGGCUCAAAAGAUUCAUCUCACAAAUUACAGGUAAACUGUGUAAUUAGUUUUUAUUUUUGUCUAUAUUUAAUGCUUCAUGCAUGCGACCAAAGAUUCGAUGUGACGGGAAAUCUUGAAAAAUUUUUGCGAACUAAACAAGGCCUUAUCAAAGCAAUUCAGUAUCCACAGAGUAUGUAGGAUGUGUUCCUGAAAUCAGUGUCCUAGAUUUUAUUUCGUAGAUUUUAACAAUCCGAUACAGACGGUACCUACGAUGCUGUUCGAUUCUCGAUUCCCAAUAGUAACCGACUAGAAAACCUUGGGUGUGACGCGCCAUUUUAGAGCCAAUUAGUAGUGAAAUCCAGUGGAGUUUGUCCUGGUCGCUUAAACUUAUCUGCAUAACUUAUUAGCCAUGAUAUGAUGUUUUUCUUUCACAACAAGUAAACAUUAGCCGCAGAAACCAUCAAUCUUAGAAUAUGAUGCUGAAAUAGUUGAGUUUUGAAGAGAAUUCUUAAUAUGAUAGUAGGCAUUUAUAUAGCCAAUAUGGUUUCAAGAGUCAUAUUAAUGUAUGAAGUGAUGAAAUGUGGACAGUCUCAUACUUUUGCACAGUUCAUAUUCAAAUAUGAUUUCAGCUUCAACACACUGCUAAUCUUGCUUUGCACAUGAUAUUUGACAGACUGUUGUGCCCAGUAAUCGUCAUUUCUGCGUGAGUGAUUAAAAUCGAAUAAAGUAGCGGUGUUUGUCAUCUGG
rnacentral:lncRNA from 1 species